rnacentral:rRNA from 1 species
AUUGAACGCUGGCGGCAUGCCUUACACAUGCAAGUCGAACGGCAGCACGGGAGCAAUCCUGGUGGCGAGUGGCGAACGGGUGAGUAAAGUAUCGGAACGUGCCCAGUCGUGGGGGAUAACGUAGCGAAAGUUACGCUAAUACCGCAUACGAUCUAUGGAUGAAAGCGGGGGAUCGCAAGACCUCGCGCGAUUGGUGCGGCCGAUAUCAGAUUAGGUAGUUGGUGGGGUAAAGGCUCACCAAGCCGACGAUCUGUAGCUGGUCUGAGAGGACGACCAGCCACACUGGGACUGAGACACGGCCCAGACUCCUACGGGAGGCAGCAGUGGGGAAUUUUGGACAAUGGGCGAAAGCCUGAUCCAGCCAUGCCGCGCGCAGGAUGAAGGCCUUCGGGUUGUAAACUGCUUUUGUACGGAACGAAAAGGUUUGGCCUAAUAAGCUGAGCUCAUGACGGUACCGUAAGAAUAAGCACCGGCUAACUACGUGCCAGCCGCCGCGGUAA